rnacentral:lncRNA from 1 species
UCCCAGCCGGCCCAAUCUACUGGGCCCUAAAAGAGUAAGGCCCACAGUGGCUCAAGGGUCGGUACCAGCCCAAUUCGGCCCUUGCGACCCUUAAGAUCAAGGACAAUAAUGGCCUCAUGAUAUCUAUCCAUAUCUUUCAUUAAGAAGAGAUGAGAAAGCAAAGUCCUUUAAGGAGAAGGAGAAUAAAUGCGAGUCUAUCCCUCUUGACAUGGCGGUUGCUUCCAAAAUAGGGUCGAGUGGUCAAAUUUGGGUUACAUUCGAAAUGUCAAAGGCAGCCAAAAGAGAGAGGAAAAAAAUAGAACGAAGAUAAGGGAAUUCAAAAUUUAGAACCCAUAAGAAAUUUGAUUGUAGGAAGAGAGACCGAAAGGCACAAUUAGUGGUUUUUC